rnacentral:rRNA from 1 species
CAGCCGCCGCGGUAAAACGAAGGGGGCUAGCGUUGCUCGGAAUUACUGGGCGUAAAGGGAGCGUAGGCGGACAUUUAAGUCAGGGGUGAAAUCCCGGGGCUCAACCUCGGAAUUGCCUUUGAUACUGGGUGUCUUGAGUAUGAGAGAGGUAUGUGGAACUCCGAGUGUAGAGGUGAAAUUCGUAGAUAUUCGGAAGAACACCAGUGGCGAAGGCGACAUACUGGCUCAUUACUGACGCUGAGGCUCGAAAGCGUGGGGAGCAAACAGGAUUAGAGACCCCAGUAGUCCCUGUCUCUUAUAC